GAUGGGGAAGAGAUUGCUAUCAAAAAGCUUCACUGCGUGCCGGGGCUUGAUGACACACAAUUUAGGAAUGAGUUUAAUAACCUUAUGACAGCCCAACAUCCAAAUAUUACCCGGUUGAUCGGCUACUGUUAUUAUCUAGGACAUCAACGCAUUAAGUACAAUGAUGAAUAUGUUUUUGCCCAUGUGGUAGAAAAAUGUCUGUGCUUUGAAUACUUGAAGAGUGGAAGCCUUGACAAGCAUAUUUCUGAUGAAUCAUGCGGACUAGAUUGGCACACACGCUUCAAAAUUAUUAAGGGAGUUAGUGAGGGCUUAAAUUACCUUCAUAAUGGAUGCAAAGAUUCUAUUUACCAUCUUGACUUGAAACCUGGAAAUAUAUUGCUGGACAAGAACAUGGUCCCAAAAAUUGGAGAUUUUGGUCUGUCAAGACUUUUCCAAUCAGAAAAAACCCAUAUCACAAGCAAAUUUGUGGGAACAGUUGGAUACAUGCCACCAGAAUACAUCAAUAGAGGCGCAAUCACAACGAAGUUUGACAUAUUCAGUUUGGGUGUUAUAAUCGUUCGGAUAGUGGCAGGUCAUGAGGGCUAUUCCAGAUGUGAACAAAUGUCCCCUCAAGAAUUUAUUGAGCAUGUAAGGAAAAUAUUUUUGUAUCAUGGACAUUAA
rnacentral:rRNA from 1 species